rnacentral:rRNA from 1 species
AGUGAACGCUGGCGGUAGGCCUAACACAUGCAAGUCGAACGGCAGCACAGAGGAGCUUGCUCCUUGGGUGGCGAGUGGCGGACGGGUGAGGAAUACAUCGGAAUCUACUCUGUCGUGGGGGAUAACGUAGGGAAACUUACGCUAAUACCGCAUACGACCUACGGGUGAAAGCAGGGGAUCUUCGGACCUUGCGCGAUUGAAUGAGCCGAUGUCGGAUUAGCUAGUUGGCGGGGUAAAGACCCACCAAGGCGACGAUCCGUAGCUGGUCUGAGAGGGUGAUCAGCCACACGGGAACUGGGACACGGUCCAGACUCCUACGGGAGGAAGCAGUGGGGAAAAUUGGACAAUGGGCGCAAGCCUGAGCCAGCCAUACCGCGUGGGUGAAGAAGGCCUUCGGGUUGUAAAGCCCUUUUGUUGGGAAAGAAGUCCAUCUGGUUAAUACCCGGGUGGGAUGACGGUACCCAAAGAAUAAGCACCGGCUAACUUCGUGCCAGCCGCCGCGGUAA